GAACAUAGAAUGAUUUUAAAGUAUGGUCAUGUGGUGAAAAUUAAUAAUUACUUAUGGGGAAACAAAAGACAAGAUAGAGAUUUUUAACAGUGAAAAUGAUCAAAGUUGAUAGCUCAUAAUAUGUUUGGUUUUCUUUUAAAAUAAUUCUUUAAAACCAACUAAUAAAAAAAAAUUCGAGUGUUCACAAAAUUUUUAAUACUCACAUGAUCGAAUAUAUUCCAUAGUGUAUUUUUUUUUUUUUUUGUAAACUAUUCCAUAGUGUAUUUUAAGCUAUGUAUAUAUCAUUUGACUAUACAUUAUAAAAUCUAGACUCGUAAUUCUAAUGCAGUAAAAGCAUGUAAUUAUUAAGUUGAUAGAUAGAUAAAUGGAGUAUGAUCGUAUAAUCUCGGUUUACGUACCAAAUUAAACGCCAUUGCUUUUGUUAAUU
rnacentral:lncRNA from 1 species